rnacentral:rRNA from 1 species
CCAUGCGCAGCUAUAAUGCAGUCGACGAAGAGUCUUUGUAGCAAUACGGAGGCUUCUUAGUGGCGAACGGGUGCGUAACGCGUUGGUGACCUGCCCCGAAGUGUGGGAUAACAGUUCGAAAGGACUGCUAAUACCGCAUGUGGACACGAGGGCUAGAGGCUUUGUGUUUAAAGCAGUAAUGCGCUUCGGGAGGGACCUGCGUCCCAUCAGCUAGUUGGUGAGGUAACGGCCCACCAAGGCUACGACGGGUAGGGGACCUGAGAGGGUGGUCCCCCACACUGGCACUGAAACACGGGCCAGACACCUACGGGUGGCAGCAGUAGGGAAUAUUGGGCAAUGGGCGAAAGCCUGACCCAGCAACGCCGCGUGCAUGAUGAAGGUCUUCGGAUCGUAAAAUGCUUUUCUGAGAGAUGAGAAAGGACAGUAUCUCAGGAAUAAGUCUCGGCUAACUACGUGCCAGCAGCCGCGGUAAAACGUAGGAGGCAAGCGUUAUCCGGAUUUACUGGGCGUAAAGCGCGUACAGGCGGUUUGGUAAGUUGGAUGUGAAAGCUCCUGGCUCAACUGGGAGAGGUCGUUCAAUACUACCAGACUAGAGAGCGGUAGAGGGAGGUGGAAUUCCCGGUGUAGUGGUGAAAUGCGUAGAUAUCGGGAGGAACACCAGUGGCGAAAGCGGCCUCCUGGACUGUUUCUGACGCUCAGACGCGAAAGCUAGGGUAGCAAACGGGAUUAGAGACCCCGGUAGUCCUAGCUGUAAACGAUGUGAACUUGGCGUCGGUGGUGUAAAAACCAUCGGUGCCGAAGCCAACGCGAUAAGUUCACCGCCUGGGGACUACGGCCGCAAGGUUAAAACUCAAAGGAAUUGACGG